rnacentral:rRNA from 1 species
UAGCUCACUAGUCGAGUCGGCCUGCGCGGAAGAUGUAACGGGGCUAAACAUACCACCGAAGCUACGGCUGCGAAUAUACCACCCAAACUAUUUUAAGAUUAACGUUGACGCACGAAGUGCCCAACGGUCAAGCGACCAACACGUUGAGUUGGC